GAAAUCAUUGCAAGUGAAGGAGGCCUCUGCUUUCCUCGCCAUUGACUUGACUCCGGUUCACUCUUUCUGAGGAGGAGACCAGAAGGAGGCCAAAGCUCUCUUUGCUUGCUUGCCGUGUCUGAUCAGAGCAAAAAGGAAACUGAGGUUGCGCAAUGGCGAGCGCUUUCCUCUCUUCCAUCCUAUCAAAAACCAGCCAAGUUUUGGGCUAUGUUCAUAGAUGGGCAGCCUCGCCAUCUUAUCCACGCAGCAGUGUCUUGGAAGAUCUGGAGGAGCUGGAGAGAACAUUGAAAAGGAUCCAGGCAGUGCUCCAUGACGCGGAGGAGAGGGAGAUACGAGAAGAAGCCGUCAAGCUCUGGCUGAAGGAGCUUAAAGAAGUGACUUAUGAUGCGGAAGAUGUGCUGGACGAGUACCAGUACGAGGUACUGCGAGCCCAAGCGGAAGGCGGAGCUUCCCGCAAGAGGAAGCGAGUGGAAGCAAGGGACGAUGAGGAAGAGGUAAGUACUUCUCUUUCCACCAUAGUUAAUGUUUCAAUUCCCGAUGGCAUGGGCGAUAGAAUCAGGAAGAUCAGGAAGAGGUUCGAUGAGAUCUCGGAGGAUCGGAAACGCCUCCGUUUAAGAGAGGAAGAUGGAGAGCGACGGGUCUUCAGAGCUUUGAGCCCACCACCAAGCAGCCACAUGGUGGAUGAGUCGAGUAUUUAUGGAAGGGAACAUGACAAACAGAAGGUAAUUGAUAUGCUGUUUUCUGAGGGUAUGGAAAAUGGUAUCUCUGUCAUUCCGAUUGUCGGCAAGGGAGGACUGGGAAAAACCACCAUCGCUCAGCUGGUCUACAAUGACUCCAAGGUCAAAGAAUAUUUUGAUCUGACUGGAUGGGUUUGUGUAUCCGAUGAUUUUGAUGUUCCGAGGCUAACAAAGGCCAUCAUCGAGUCUAUUACUGAAAAAUCAUGUGAUCUUAUAGAAAUCAGCCCACUUCAAAAUUCUCUCAAGAAAAAGGUGGAGUGGAGGAAACUAUUGCUCAUCUUAGACGAUGUCUGGAAUGAACAACAAAGCCAUUGGGAGUCCUUAAGAAUCCCUUUUGUUGGAGCAGAAACAGUAGUAAGUAUUAUUGUGACCUGUAGGAAUGAUUCGGUUGCCAAGAUCAUGCAGACAGUGCUUCCUUAUCAUCCUGGCUGCUUGUCUGAAGACGAGUCUUGGUCAUUAUUCAAGCAUUAUGCAUUUGGUGGUCGAGACCCUGAAGAACAUCCACACUUGGUGCAUCUCGGUAAGCAGAUUGUCAAGAAGUGUUCCGGUUUACCAUUGGCUGUGAAGACAAUAGGAAGCCUUUUAAGACACGAGAUGGAUGAAGACAGUUGGAUGGAGGUCUUACAAAGUGGUCUAUGGGAACUGGACAAGAACAAUGAGACUUUGGCAUCUCUUAGAUUAAGCUACAAUCGCAUGCCAGCACAUCUGAAACCCUGUUUCAUUUACUGUUCCAUGUUUCCAAAGGAUUAUGAGUUCGACAAAGAUGUUUUAGUCAGAUUGUGGAUGGCGCAAGGUUACAUCCCACCUCGAGGUAGAAAAACAAUGGAGGACAUCGGAGAUGAAUGUUUUAAUGACUUACUAACAAGAUCAUUCUUUGAUUCCUUAAAUUACUUACCUCAUACUACAUUUAAGAUGCAUGAUAUGAUACAUGAUCUAGCAAAAUCUAUUGCUGGAAAUGAGUGCUAUGCAAUUGUGGAUAAGAAGCUACCCGGUUCUCCUGAUAAGGUUCGCCAUUUGUACGUGCAAGGUGUCGGGGAAUUAGUGAAAUCACCGAGCCCCCACAAUGUUAGGGCCCUACGGACCUUGUCACGAGUGGAACACUUGGGUCCACCUUCAAUAGUAAUCCAAGAAAUAACCCAGUUUUCGCUGCUAAGAUGUUUAGAAUUUUGGUGGGAAAAAGUUGAGAUCCCAGAUUUACUCGGUAACCUGAAGCACCUACGCUACUUACAUAUCAGAUCCUAUUGUAUUAAGAAGCUUCCUGAAUCAGUAUGCCUCCUUUACCACCUACAGACAUUGAUUCUUGAUUGUCAUGCUCUUGCAAAGUUACCAGAUGGCCUAGGUAACCUUAUUAACCUACGAUGCUUGAAUCUAUUUUCACAAUGUAUUAAAAGGCUUCCUGAAUCAGUUCGUCAGCUGCGCAACCUGCAGAGGUUGGGUCUUAACGAGUGCGGAGAACUUAAAGAGUUACCCAGUGGCAUAAGAAGCCUUACUAACCUCCGCCACCUAGAUACUAGGGACACUCAAAUUCUCUGUCUGCCAGUUGGAAUCGAAAAGCUAACAAAUCUUCAGAUAUUGCGUGGACGUUAUGAAGUGCAGGGUGGGAUAGGAGUGUUCAAGGACUUGGUGAACCUCCAAGGAGGUCUUUGCAUCGGAGGGCUCGGGAAUUUGGUCGGCAUAGAGGAUGCGAAGGAUUUGGGUCUUAAAUAUAAGCAUAAACUUGAGCGGUUGCAUCUACAUUGUCCCCGCAAACAUCAUUGCUAUUCUGAUGAAUCGGAUCUAGAAGUUUCUCUAGAGGAAAAUAAGGAUGUUCCAGCCGAUGAAAAAAGGGAGGAAGCGCUGCUUGAGUAUCUCCAACCUCCCACCAACCUCAAAGAGUGGGUUAUAGAUGGGUAUGGUGGUUCCAAGUUUCCAAAAUGGGUGGGAAAUCCUUUAUCCUUUGCGUCACUUCGAAAAAUCCAUAUAAUUGAUUGUAAAAAAAUAAUGUCCCUUCCUCUAUACAUUCAUGACUCUCCUGGAAAAUUGGAUGCAUCCAUAUCAAAAUCCAUGCUUCAGAGGGUGUGCAUUUCUGGUUGCCAGCAGCUCAAAUCCAUCGCAGGCCUGCAUAAUCUCCACUCACUUGUGGAACUGAAUAUAUCUGUUUGUCCUCUACUCCAGCUCUUAUCAGAGGAAGGACUGCCAUCCAAGCUUCAAUAUCUGCAUAUUGAGGGGUGCCAACAGUUGACAUCAUUGCCGGGGAUGCAAAACCUUACUUCUCUUACAAACUUAAGCAUAACAGAUUGUCCUAAACUUCAGAUUAUGGUAGAAGAUCGGCUCUCAUCUAUGCCUCGCUAUGUGCGUAUCGUUGAUUGCCCUGCAUUGGUCAACUGGUGCGAAAUACAAAAAAUCAACUGCAUUCAGGUCUUUUCAUCGGGCAACAAGCUGACUAUAUCGAACACGUGGGAGAAGAUAAUGCAUGGGUUUGAUGAUUUGACAUCCAUUGAGCAUCUUCAUUUCACUAAUUCUUGGCAUUUGCUUCCGGAAAGAUUCAGCAUAAGCAUACUUGAAGAGCUGACAAUAUGGGGUUGCAUGCACAUCCCGCUUCUAAGCUGCCUGCCCGCACUCACAUCUCUCCAAAGCUUGGUUAUAAAGGACUGUCCUACAAUCCUAGUCGUGACAGAUCAACUGCUUCCACACACGCUGAAUUCCUUGGUAGUUGAUAGUUGCGAGGACCUAAGGCGUUUGCAGUUGGCGCAGCAGAACCGAGAUGCACUUGAGGUGCUGCAUAUUGUGAACUGCCCCAGGCUCACGAUGGUGGAAGGGCUGAAUUGCAUGCGCAUCCCACCUACAAGCUGCCUGCCCGCACUCACAUCUCUCCAAAGCUUGGUUAUAAAGGACUGUCCUAGAAUCUUAGUCGUGACAGAUCAACUGCUUCCACGCACACUGAAUUCCCUGGUAGUUGAUAGUUGCGAGGACCUAAGGCGUUUGCAGUUGGCGCAGCAGAACCGAGAUGCACUUGAGGUGCUGCAGAUUGUGAACUGCCCCAGGCUCACGAUGGUGGAAGGGCUGAAUUGCAUUUUCUUCCCCAAAUUCUUAACAAUAGAGCAAUGCCCUCAACUCCUGCUUCCACAUUCAGGAAGCAGAGAACAAAGAAACAAUUGAUGAUGCAACCUUGGAGAAACGAGUGAUGAGGCGUGAGGUGAUUCGACAUUUUACAAAUGCUGUAUCUCCAAUGAUUGAUGCUGCAGCUGAUUGCAGCAUGGGUCAAUUCCUAGAAAGGCUUCCUUCUAAUAGCAGCUCUCAUUCCCUGGCCCGGGGAGGGGGGAUGUGGGGGAAUGAUCUUGGCAUCAAUUCUUAAAUGAUUCCAACUUCUACCACCUGCGAAAGGGGUGGUUUCGCAAAUAGUCAACAACAGUAUGGUAGGUCCACACCAGAAGCAUCUUUAGGUAUGCUUUUCCACGUGCUUGUGUUUGCUGGGAAUUAAGGUUUGUAAAAAGGACUUGCAGAUUCUGAUUGCUACUUCUGUGUUCUAUAGCUUGCAAAUUGCUGACCUUUUGGUAUGGCAUUGUUACAAUUUUAUAUUACUCAACUAUUUGAUACAGUCACUGAAAAAAUAGAUCAUAUUUGAUCAGCAAGGUUGUGACCAACAUAUGAAUUGAUGCUUCAUGUCCCUGACCAUAUGACAAAGAAGCAAUGCAAAUAAAAUGAGCAUCACUUCGAGGGAAAAA